AUUAGUCAUUUUUAAGUUUGUAAUUGUAUUGUAAGAAUGAGAUAGUUUAAGUUCGCAAUUAUAAAAAUAGGUAAAUCUAGGAUGAGAAAGAAAAAUCAUGUGCCCAUUUUAGGUUUUUAGCCCAUAAAACUUGAAGGUCUUACCCUAUAAGGCUAUAACUUGUUGUUUGACUUGAAGAGGCUUUUACUCAUAAAACUGAUAAACCAUACCUAUUGCAACUAUUUUUUGGAUAAGUUUUUGGGUAAAUUAAUACAAAAGCAUUUUUCUAACAAUUUAAUUUAAAUUAAU
rnacentral:lncRNA from 1 species